CUCGGACAUGUCUGCACUAUAAAUAUCCCCCCACUUGAGCAAGGCUCUCCCUUGGCUCCUUUUGUUGAUAAGAAGGACUAGCAGUCCUUUUUAGGAUGUGAAUCAUCAGGGCUAUUUUAGAUAUUUCACUUAGGUGAGAUUAAUAGUGGCCUCCCACUCUUUUCUUCUCCCCAGUGACUCAGGGAGCUCCAGUGUGACUAGAUCUGGUUUAAGAUGUGUUUUACAGAAGCCUCUAUCUGCACAGAGUCAUCCCCAUACCUGAUGAGAUUGGUUUCUGAGCUGCAGAGUUGAUUUUGGACCAUAAAGACAAAGUCUUCCAAGUCUGGCAGUGAGAAAUGAAGCAAACCUGAAUCAGAGACCUCUAUGUGCAAUGAUAUUUAUUGAGAUAAAAGAGACCAUGGAGCAGUUUGAGGUGUGCAAGCUGCAGAAAGAACAAUCCUUCUGCCUCCUCCUGUUCCACUUGGAAAUUUCCCAUCUAAUCCUGCAGCUAAAUGUGGUUAUCUUUAUAUGAAAGAAGCCAGGAGCAAGCAUAUGCUACUAUUGUGAAGAGCUGGUUAUGUUUUGGGGCGAUGCUAAAUGCAUCCAAAGGGCAAAAGAGAGCAUAAAACAAAGUGACUGACUGCUGAUUUUUUGACACCAUGGAAGAGGAAUGGAUGCACUUUGGUGAAAAACAGCACAGAGAAGCCUUGAAGCCAAAAUAUCUGACCUUGGAGCCCCCUGAUGAAGUUCAGGAGUUGGUGGGUGCCCUGUGGAAGAUCUGUGCUGCCACUGGUAGGGUCUAGACAAAGGGUGAGCAUAUCUGAUCCUCUGCUUGAUGGAGCUGAUGGUCACAUAAUGCUUCAUGGCUCACUGGGGACAUGGAGACCAGGAGCACUCCUUCCCCCUUCAGCUGUGAUACUUGUCCUUAUCAUGAGGAUAUCACUUGUUCCCUGCUGUGGCAAAAUAUCCUCAGGGAAGAGAGGGACAACUUUAAUGCCUGCUUUAUGUGAAGGCUUUUUAAUGAGCAGUGCUUCCCCUUUGGGCAAGAGGAUGCUGUUUUGUGCUGCAGGAGCACUCAGAGGCUCAAAGGUGAGACAAUCUCCCUGUCAAUAGCAGCAUCACACAAAUCAAAGUGAGGAGGGGAGUGAGGUUUGUGGGGUAAGGGAUUGUAAGCAGUGGAAGGAGGAUGGGACAUGGAGGAGUGUGGAUGCUGAAUGUGAGAGAUCAGGCAGGAGCACAGUGUCUGUGUGAAACUGAAUCACACAACUUUCUCACUCUGGCCUGGGAAAUCAUAAGGAGGAACCCAAACAGUCCUUGGAGAAGGAAAACAACCUCUGCAGGUGCUGUUUGUUCCUUGUUAAUUGUAAGAAACAGCCAAGGGGUGCUGUUCUCAAUUGUCCAGUGAUGGUGACGUGUUGGUUUCAUGAUCAGUGAAAGUUUUACCUUCUCAGACCUGCUCAGAACUGUCUAUAAAAGAAGAUCUGGAAGAAUAAAACUUGCUCCCUUUCGCAGCUAAGGCUAGAGAGUCUGUGUGGUCACUG